UCCCUUGUAGCUCAGUCGGUAAAGAAUCUGCCUGCAAUGCAGGAGACCUGGGUUCGAUUCCUGGGUCGGGAC
rnacentral:tRNA from 1 species